ACAGCCCUGGAGGUUGUUUGUGAGAAAUGGCCAGACUCCUGUUUACAUUACUAUUUGGUUUCUUUACAUCAUGUCUCUUUGAGAUCGCUUCAAGUGGUCAUUUAUCUGUCCAUCCUGGAGAAAACAUCACCCUGCUCUGUAAUGUCACUAAUCAUUCUGAGAUAUCAUGAUAUCGACUGAGAUCUGAAUAACAGCUGCUGAUAUCUGCUAAACAAGGGAACCUGAAGAAAAACUUUUAUCUCAGUUAUAACGUGGACGAGAGUCACUUUGAUUUCACAGGAAGUGGCAGUUCAGUGAGUUUAGUGAUUACUGGUGUUAGAGAGACAGAUCUGGGAUUUUAUUACUGUGGAGGAAAAAACAGAAUGACGCACACUGAGUUUGGGAAACCCAUCAGGCUGAACAUUACAGGUGAUGAUGAUGAUCUGAUUCAUAAGACUGAUCUUUCAGACACACAGCAGUCUGCACACCCUGUACUCUGUGAGAUUAUUAUUGUAAUCCUAUCGUAUAUGUGUGUGUGUGUGUGUGGGGGGGGGGACUCUGUUCCAGUGAGCAUCAUCUCCACCUCUCUGUACUAUUCCACGCUACAAGGUGAGAGCUAAAAGCUUUUCAGAUCAACGUUCAUACACUUCACACACCUUCCUUUAUUUAUUACACUUCCUGUUGUGCCUGGCCCUGCAGAAGCCCUUAUACACUACUGCAGAAUGAGUGUGUGUAAUGAAAACAUUAGUUAUUGUGAAAGGUGUGAAUGCUGAAACAGUGUUACAUCUGUGUGCUUGACAUUGUUGAUAUUUUUUAAUUCUCUUAAUUUUCGGAUCAGUGUUAUUCCAGUGGGGACUCAAAUUAGAAGGUAGCAGAAAAACACUCAGUGAUAAAAUAAUGAAAUGUAGUUGAUCGAAGUCAACACUGAGAUCAUGACACUAUUAAAGCGGACUGAAAAUACCACAUUAUCAGAUGUUUUUCUCUCUGCAGGAAGUGGACCUGUCUAAUUUGACCUCUGUGAUCUACACAAGUGAUUCCUGACAGCCCAGAAACCAUUUGCAGAAGUUUAGUCCUCUGUAACAUGUAAAACUGAACUGUGCGUAAAGGACAAUAAGAAAUAAAUGUCUGAUGCA